AUGAAGGAGUUGCCCGGAAGCCUGCGCGCCACCAUCAUCCGCCUGCUGGCCGAGCUGCUCAGCACGGAGGACUCCUCCUGGGAGCUGGUGGCCAUGGUCUUCCUCAGCGAGGUGAGCAGGGGCAGCAGGAGCAGCGAGCGUGGGGCUGCGGGGGCUCGGCGCAAGCCCUGCUGCCCUGCCCUGGCAUCCUUGCCCCAAGAGGAGGGGCGGAUCCAGCACCACCCACCACGGCUUUUUCAGAUGCUGGAGUGCACAGACCUCGGCAACGAGCUGGACUGCGUCGUGAGCCUCUUUGCCACCUACCUGCGGAGCCAGUGCCUGGGCAUGCAGAGCCUGGUGCUCAGGGCGAUCCUGGGGCUCACCCAGAGGCCGGACACGGCAAGGCAAACACUCGUCCUGCUGCCGAGCAUCACAGAGCAGCUGCAGGGUGCAGACAGCGACACCCGCACUGUCGCUCUGCCCGUGCUCAGCACCAUGCUGCGGCUCCUGGAGGGGAGGACGCUCAGCCUCACGGCUCUGGAGCUGGCCGGCAAGCUCCCAUCACUCUUUGACGACGUAAGGCUGCGUCCCCAUGCCUGCGUCCCUGUGACACCCCACUGUGGGCUCUCCCUGCCCGGUUCCCAGCCCUGGGCGCUGCGUGCCCUUGGGCAGACUUUCGGCAGGCCACAGCUUGCUCACUUUUGGGGGCCGUCCUCAAGGUGUGCCCUCUGCCUCUUGGCUCGGAGACUUUGCCCCCACUUUGUCGGUCGUGCUGGCCCUGCUUGCGGAGGGCUUGGAGCCACCGGGACUGAUGUCCCCCUCUCCUCCUCCCCAGGAGUCAAGCGCAGUGCGGGUUCUCUCUAUUCGCCUCCUCCUCGACACGCUGGGCUUUGUGGAGGGCAGCGAAAAGAAGAAGAUGCAGAAGGAGGUGUGCAGGAGCCUUGUCCCGCUGUCCUUCCACCUGCACGACCAGGACGAGAGCGUGGCCGAGGCCUCCCGCGAAGCCCUCCUUGGUGUCGCGCGGUUCCUGCGCUGGAGGCAGCUGGCGCACCUGGCCGAGACGGUGCAGACGUGUAA
rnacentral:lncRNA from 1 species